rnacentral:rRNA from 1 species
GGCUUUUUGAUAUGAUAAAAGGUYUGACCUGCCCACUGAUAAUUUGAAUGGCUGCAGUAUUUUGACUGUACAAAGGUAGCAUAAUCAUUAGUUUUUUAAUUGAAAGCUGGAAUGAAGGGUUGGAUGAGAUGAUAGUUGUCUCUAUUUAAUUAAUUGAAUUUUAUUUUUGAGUGAAAAAGCUUAAAUUUAAAUUAGGGACGAGAAGACCCUAUAGAGUUUUAUAAAAUUUUUAUUUUGUGUUUUUAGAAUUAAUUUACUUUUAAUUAAAAUUUUAUUUGGUUGGGGUGAUUGAAUAAUUUAAAUAACUUAUUUUUUUUUAUUACAUUUUAAAGGGGUUUUUGAUCCAUUAUUUGUGAUUAUAAGAUUAAAUUACCUUAGGGAUAACAGCGUUAUUUUUUUUGAGAGUUCUUAUUGAUAAAAAAGAUUGCGACCUCGAUGUUGGAUUAAAAUUUAUUUUUGGUGUAGCAGCUAGAAAAUUAGGUCUGUUCRACCUUUAAAAUUUUACA